rnacentral:rRNA from 1 species
GAUGAACGCUGGCGGCGUGCUUAACACAUGCAAGUCGAACGGUGAACGAGGGAGCUUGCUCCCUCCGGAUCAGUGGCGAACGGGUGAGUAACACGUGAGCAAUCUGCCCUGGACUCUGGGAUAAGCGUUGGAAACGACGUCUAAUACCGGAUACGAGGCGUGGGGGCAUCCCCAACGCCUGGAAAGAACUUCGGUCCAGGAUGAGCUCGCGGCCUAUCAGCUUGUUGGUGAGGUAACGGCUCACCAAGGCGACGACGGGUAGCCGGCCUGAGAGGGUGACCGGCCACACUGGGACUGAGACACGGCCCAGACUCCUACGGGAGGCAGCAGUGGGGAAUAUUGCACAAUGGGCGAAAGCCUGAUGCAGCAACGCCGCGUGAGGGACGACGGCCUUCGGGUUGUAAACCUCUUUUAGCAGGGAAGAAGGGAAAGUGACGGUACCUGCAGAAAAAGCACCGGCUAACUACGUGCCAGCCGCCGCGGUAACAC